rnacentral:miRNA from 1 species
UAAAUAAGAAUGGCUUUAGUCUGUCUUUUUUGAAAACCCAAGACUGCCUUCUGUCUGAGUCGGUUCCCAAGCCCCACAAGGACAGCAGGCUCAUUACUUUAUAGUUAUACCCUGUUUCUU